ensembl:lncRNA LINC00477 long intergenic non-protein coding RNA 477
AGUCUCUUCUUGCAAGGCCUUUCGCCCCUGGUCUAUGUGCGCCUAGUCCAUGUUGCCUUUCUUUUCCAACACCACCUCCAAGUCCGUGUCUGUUUCCUCCUUUCAAGGGUCUCCUGCUACCCCACUCUCUUUCCUUUUCUUUUUCUUCCUUUGCAGAGCCGGCUCCUCAAUGACUGGCUGCUUUACCUUCUUCUUGGACUUCAUCUUUUUCUUCGCGGGGGUUUUAGGGCCAUCUCCUAUGGGGAUGUAUUCCGGAGCCUCCACUUUGACUGGCUUCUUUUUACUUCGUUUCCUAGGGCAGCUCUCCAUGGACCUGGAGGGCUUGGAGUGGCUUGGGAGGGCGUCUCCCUCCUGGUGGAUUUUUUUUUCUUCUUCGCCUUCCCACCGUGUUCCCUGGGGCUCUUGUGCUUCCGCUUCUGCCCCAAGGCUACCUGUUCCUCACCCUCCUUCCCCACUGAGCAAGUGUCCACAGCAUCCCCGACCUCGCAGAACCAAGGGUCCUGGACUGAGAAAGCUGUGGGGUCCUGGGCCCCCUUUUUUUCCUUCUUAAGUUUUUUAAGCUUCUUGCCAACUCUGGUUUCCUCCUCACCCUGUCUGGGGUCUGGGGAGAUUUUCACCCCAGAGGCAUGGGAGAUGGCCAGAGAUGACUUCCUUUUCUUCUGCCCACUGAGGAACUCCAAAUGGCCAAGCACCUGGUUCCUUGGGCUGGAUGACUUCUCUGUCCGUCUGGCACGCAGCGUGGUCUCAGGUUCUACGUGCCCCUCGCAAAGGGUGCUGACACCCUUCUCUUUCUUCUUUUUCUUCACUAGAGGCAUCUCAGGUGCCUGCCCGUGGACCACACUCUUAGAGGGGGCUGUGGCUUUUAUAGGAGAAACAUGGGCAAAGUAAUCAUCAUUGUUUAAAAUUGAGUAUUGAGUCCCUGGUUCUUUGACCACUUUCUUCUUCUUUUUCUUCUCUGGGAUCCCAGGGCCCAGGUCUACUUUCCGGUGGGCCAAACUUCCCCGCCUCCACGUGAGAGCCGGCUCCGCCGUGACCCGGAAGUCCACUUUCGGGUUGCACGCGUGGCUUCUCUUACACACAAAUUUUCUUCCACUUCUGCCACUCCUGAGACAGCAAGACUGAUACCUUAUUUUCCUCCUCCUCCUUGGCCUACUCAACAUGAAGAUGAUGAGGAUGACGACCUUUACGAUGAUCCACUUCCAUCUAAUGAUUGAGGCAGUGUCUCACUCUGUUGUCCAGGCUGGAGUGCAGCGAUAUGGUCAUAGCUCACUGCAGCCUCGAACUCCUGGGCUCAAGGGAUCCUGCCACCUCAGCUAAGGCCUGCAGUAGCUAAGACUAUAAUCCCUUAAAUAUUUUAGAAGAGAAGGAGCAAGAGAAGAAGAUCUCAAAAUACUUUUUCAACACUGGCUGGUUUUGAGAAGCUCACUUUCAAAAUUUGAUAUGGACAUUGCAUUUGACGAGACAGUAGAGAUGGGAUUUCACUGUGUUGGCCAAACUGGUCUCGAACUCCUGACCUCGGGAUCCACCCGCCUCAGCCUCCCAAAGUGCUGGGAUUACAGCCAUGAGCGACCGCGCCCAGCCGUCACAGGAUUUCAUACUUAUUAAGAUCCCUCUUUCUUCUUUAGGAUUCCCAAGUAACUUGUCUCUGCUAUUUUUAAUGUAUAUGACCGAAUAAAUUCAAAAUGAGCCUUAUGAAAAUAGGCUAAGGUC